UGCUUGCAUAAGAAAACAUUUAAAAAUUUACUUAUUUUUGAAAUAUUUUGACAUAUCAAUGUUCCCAAGCGUUGAUGCAUCUACCUGUCUUUUUCUACCAUGGGUGAUUCGUAUAUUGUGUGUUCAACGAUUUUUUACAAUUGUUUCUCUAACGUUGUUUUUUGGCAACCCUGAAAAUAUUUUUAAGUCAAAAGUUCGCAUUACAUCGUAAACACGUUAUAUUCAUCUAUAGCGAAAGUGAAAUAUCAGUUUCAGUCCAAAGAACGCCUUACAGAUAACAAAUGUUUGCAUGGAGUGUGUAUGUGUUGUCUUGUGAAAAUUCUCCUGUCGAUGCCGACCCAAAUUCAUUCAAAACACUUGACGGGGCAGGCAAGCUCUUUUGAAGCGAAGGAAUUCGGUGUUUUAUUAUUCUCGCCAAGUAGAACGCUGCUCCAUUUCAAAAUUCACAAACGGAAUACAAGAAUGGCAAACUUUUCGAAAGCCUGCCAUUCAAUGACUUUUAGAACAACACAAUGAGUGAGAAGAAUGCAUUAAAUAUUCAUUGAAAUCUCUCGUCCUGCCUUGUGCUUUCUGUCGGGAAGGUAAUCUACAUAAAUAUGUUUUCUCAAUGAAGCGUUUUUCAGCCUGGUAGCUUUACAACUUGAUUUAUUGCCACUCUCCUUGAAUCAAAGAAUAGUGUACACGCUCUCGACCUAUUUAAUAAAACGAUGUGUGGAACGAAUGAAUGCUAAGAUUCAAACAGA